CAGAGUAAUACGGUCCGCACUAAAACUUAAAGAACUUGGCGGUUUUUUAGAUCUUCUUGGAGGAGCUUGUCAUUGAAUUGAUAACCCACAGGGUACCUCACCUUCUUAAGAAAACCAGCCUGUAUACCAUCGUCGUCAGCUCACCUCAACAGAGAGUGAACAAAAAGAAAGAAUCUCCCAACGUCAGAUCAAGGUGCAGCCAAUAAGAAGGGAAUUGAUGAGCUACCAUACUUUUAAAAUUAGAGGAAAUGAAAGUUAAAACUUCAUAAAAAAAGGAUUCAACAGUAACAAAGUAUAGAAAGACUUAGUAAAGUAAGCUCUAAAAUGCGCACACACCGCCCGUCACCCUCA
rnacentral:rRNA from 1 species